rnacentral:rRNA from 1 species
AGAGUUUGAUCCUGGCUCAGGAUGAACGCUGGCGGCGUGCCUAACACAUGCAAGUCGAACGGGGUAUAUAAGCGGAAGUUUACGGAUGGAAGGUUAUAUACUUAGUGGCGGACGGGUGAGUAACGCGUGGGCAACCUGCCCCGUGCCGGGGGAUACCGCCUGGAAACAGGCGCUAAUACCGCAUAAGCGCAUACAGCCGCAUGGGUGUAUGCGGAAAGCUCCGGCGGCACGGGAUGGGCCCGCGCCCGAUUAGCCAGUUGGCGGGGUAACGGCCCACCAAAGCGACGAUCGGUAGCCGGCCUGAGAGGGCGGACGGCCACAUUGGGACUGAGACACGGCCCAAACUCCUACGGGAGGCAGCAGUGGGGAAUAUUGCACAAUGGGGGAAACCCUGAUGCAGCAACGCCGCGUGGGUGAAGGAGCGUUUCGGCGCGUAAAGCCCUGUCAGCGGGGAAGAAGAAAGACGGUACCCGACCAAGAAGCCCCGGCUAACUACGUGCCAGCAGCCGCGGUAAUACGUAGGGGGCGAGCGUUAUCCGGAAUUACUGGGUGUAAAGGGAGCGUAGACGGCGAGGUAAGCCUGAAGUGGAAGCCCGCGGCCCAACCGCGGAACUGCUUUGGGAACUGUUUUGCUGGAGUAUGGGAGGGGUAAGCGGAAUUCCUGGUGUAGCGGUGAAAUGCGUAGAUAUCAGGAGGAACACCGGUGGCGAAGGCGGCUUACUGGACCAUAACUGACGUUGAGGCUCGAAAGCGUGGGGAGCGAACAGGAUUAGAUACCCUGGUAGUCCACGCCGUAAACGA